AGGAAGGAAAAUAUGCACAAAGAAAUUUCACCAAAACAAGCGAGCGAAUUAAUAUUGACUGAUAGACUAGGCAGUAGGACCAAAUAUCCAAUAACAAUACUAAUGUCUGCAUUUUUCUGUAACAUAAAUCUUAUUCCAAAAGAUGUAUUUUGUUUGGCAGUAGGACCAUGUUUGUUUUUCAGUGGGAAGCCAAAUUUGUUUCUAUCAUACUCAUCCAAGACAACCUUAAUCCUUCUCACAUAAUUUAUAUAUGAAGAAGAGUUAACAAAGUCAUGAAUGUCACUAAUUAUAUCGACUAUUAGUAAUUUUCACUUCAUGAUAUUGUUACAACAUUUUUUGUUUGAACGGUUGCACCUUAUAUCACUAUUUAUGUAUUAAAUUUGUAUACCGUUCUAUCUAUAGUCUAAAAGUAAUUCAGUAGGUCGCACUUAUUCUUUCCACCAUCUUCUUUCAGAUUUCGAUGCUUAAUUAUAGAAUAAUACAUUUAUACUGGAGGCACAUUCAUGGUCAGGAGCUAGGUAAAAGAAGGAAGCUGGUAUGAAGAUGGCUCGGCCCAGCCAUGACCAUGCUAGUGAAGUACAACUUAUAACCCUUCAGGAGGAUGAAGGUUGUCAGAGAUAGUGGAGGCCUGGAAACAAUGGAAAAUACGAAACAAGUCCUACUUUGACAGGAUCUAGGUUGACAGAAUGAUCACAGACCUCAAAAAGUUUCAGUGCAGAAUUUGUCCUGAGCACACGAAGGCGCCCUCAUUGUUAUUCACUGCUACUUGCACUUGUAAUAUCUGUUUUCGUACCUUUUUGUGCUCGGCCAAAAUGGCAUAAGCCUCUGUACAUAUGCCAUGCAAAUAAUUCUGUUGUUGUAAUUCCAUUUUUUUUUGCCUGUCAUGGUAGUGCCCAACUCAUAUAUGUAUAUGUGUUGCUGAAAAUGUAU